rnacentral:rRNA from 1 species
AUGGCAACGGCUCGAUGCGCCGGAAGAUGGAGUGCUCCUGCGCUGCUGCUGCUGCUGCUCCUCCUCCUCUGCGCCGUUGCGCUCGUCGCCGUCGUGCCUCUGGCGGCGCUCCCGGGAGGAGACGCGGCGGCAGGCGGGCGACGCGCCCUGGUGCCGGCGGCGAGGUCGGGGAGGUUCCGCCCCCGUCCCCGGAGAUGGAACUCGGCGGGGCUCGUCGACAGCAAGCAUGAGGUCCCGAGCGGCCCAAAUCCGGACUCCAAUAGGUAG